CUAACACAACAAAUGAGGAAACUUGUGGCCACCUUUUCAUUGCAGAAUCUGUUAGGCUUUGAAAUGCUACCCUUGCCUGAACAUACACUAGCAUCUAUUUAAGCUAGAAAUAACACGUCUGGAUACCUAGGAGGAUCUGAGUCUCUGUGCUGAUCCUUGCAGCACUGUGGUUACUGCACAGCGUGUUUGCAGCACGAUUCAGCUCUGACAGGCAGCGAUGCUUUUCAGCAGUUGCUGGCUCUAAGAGUGCCAAACCUGAAGCCUCUGAUCUGGAAUGUGAUUUACAAAUCCACCCAAGCAGACACUUUUGGAGAGAUGAAGCACAGUCAAAAGUUGGAUCCAACCUUCUUCCAGAAAUGGGGUUGGAUGUGAGGAAGAUGAGAAGUACCCUGAGAACACGGUGUCAUUGUUGCCACAGUUAUGAAAUGGUUUGCAGCCUUUGAGAGGGUGAGAACAAGUGAUUUUCCUCUGCGUCAUGCAAAUGAACCAAACCUUUGCAAAUCAAAUUCUCUGCGAAAGUGGCAAAGCUGAUGGUUCUGGCUGAAGAUGAACGCCGUACCUGGUGCUUAAAGCUGGGAACUGCCUGGCAAUGUCCACGGCAAAAGAAGCCACAUCUGUCUACCUCGCCUGUCUUACAGGAGCGUGCAGGGCAAUUUUGUGGUAAGAGGAGCCAUUUCAUGUCUGUGCAUGGUAGUGGACUUCCCAAGCAUAUUAACUGUUAGAAAUGACAGGGAGUUAUCUCUACAAAAUGGCCGAUUAUUAACAGAAAGGUCAAGAGUAACAAACUUCAUAGGGCACGCAGCAGUGGCUGGGUGGGACUGAUGGUUCGCCAUCGGCAGCCCUGGGCGGGAGCUGGUCCGGAGGCCGGUCCUGGG